CUGUGUCACAGGUGUCACUUUCACGAGUGAGGCAUCUGGAUGUCAGCUUUGAGAUCACCAAGGAGACUGUUCACAUUAUCCUGGGCAUGCCUGACCCAGUCAGAGGAGCUUAUAACAGAAGGCCAGAGUGACCUGACUUGGAAGGUCAUGUGACCCAGGUUCAUGUUACAAACUGAGUUCCAGAGCCUGGCUCAUGGAGAUGCUGAGGUCCUGGAAGCUCUGGGCCUAGGGAGAUGUCUGUGGAAGAUGUUACUUUCAGAACUGCCCACAAUAACUUGGACAACUUGGGCACCCAGUCCCUCACAUGGUAAGCUUUUAGGACCUGGUCAUGGUGGGUGGCUUUGCUGGGUUACAUCUGAGGCUUAGACACCUUCCAUGUGUUUUUCUUGGGACAUUUCCCUCCCUGAUCCCAGACACCAUGGUGUGAGGAAGUCCAGGCAACACAGGGAAGCCAUGAGUCAAGGUUCUGGCCGACAGCCCAGCUCAAGUCCCAACCACCAGCAGCGUUUGACUGCCACAUACGUCAGGGGAGAGCCUUCCGCUGGUCCCAGACAGAGCUGAGGAAGCCCUCAGAAACCACAGUGGAUAAUAAUUAAUAUGCCCUUUUAAAAUUAGCCUUUUUUGUUUUGAGGUAGCUGUAGAAGAAAUCAAUAGUACUGGGGAGAUUCUCCUGUACCCUCCACCAGUUCUGCCAAGGGUAACAUCCUGAAAACAAAAAAAGAAAAGAAAAAAACAAAACACCCAGACAGUACAGGCGAGAAGCAGCCACACCCACAGAACUCCUGCCCAACUUGGUGUCCUUUUAUAUGAAGCCAUGAAGGCAGUCCUGGUAUUCCUGCACACCUUUCUUAACUCCUGACGACCACUAUACUACACUAUGGUUUUGGAAUUUUUCAUUUCAGAAGUGGUACAGGGAUGGAGUCUCAGUGUUUUGCUGUUUUACUCAGAGUGACUCCCCCCACCCCCACCCCCGCCCCGGAGGUUCAUCCCAAUUGCAUGUGUAUUAACUUGUUCUUUUUGUGGCUUCUCGUUAAGCCUUCUUCGCUUGUUGAGUAUCUGGGCUGUCUCCACGGUGAAUCUCUUACAAUCCAAGCUGUUCCCGGCUCUCCUGUGCAAACUCUCGUGUGAACAACACGCAUCGUCAUUUUUCUGGGAUGAGCGCCACGGUGCAACGGCUGGGUCCUACGGUAGUCACCCACUCCGUAUUCUAAGCUGCCAAACUGUCUCCCAGAGCGUCUGUGCCAUGCCAGAUUUCCUCCGUUCUGUACGAGUCACCCCUUUCUGGUUCUCUUUGCCAGAGUUUAUUAUUUAAAUAUGUGUGACCUAAAACUUACCAUCUUACCAUCUUAGUUCUGAGUGGAGAGCCCAGCGUGUUCAGAGCACUCGUAGCUGGGUAGUGGGACUCCAGAAAUCUUUCCUCCAUCUUGCCAGUCUGAAACUGUUCCGUUAUCAAGAACAAAUUGUUCCUCCUCCCUUCCCGCACUGUCUGGCCAGCCUCCACCCACUUCCCAUUGUUAGUUAUCUGCUUGAUGCCCUAGAGCCUUCAAAAGAGUGACACACAAUACUUGUCCUUUUAGGACUGGCUGUUUGAACUCAGUACGGUGUCUUUAAAGUUUAUCCCUAUGGUAGCACGUGUCAGAGUUUCUUUCAUUUUUUAGGGUCAAAUAACAUUCCACUGUAUGGAUAUACCAUGUUUUUUAUGGCCCACCCACCAAUGGACACUUGUGUUUCUUCCUCGUUCGGGCUACUGUGGAUAAUGCUGUAGUGAGCACAGGUAUAAAAGUACUUUUUCAAGUCCCUGCUUUCAUUCUCUCUCAGUACCAUGUCCAGAAGUAGAAUUUCUGGUCAUGACAAACCUUUCAACUUCUUUUGUGUGCAUACAUGUAUGCACAUGUUCAUGCGUGUGCAAGUCUGUGUAUGUUUGCAGAAGCAAGCAUUUUACGUGCAGAGCCAUCUCCCCAGUUCUGAGCAGGCUUUGUGAGUUUUGAGGAAUUGAAUGAUUUUGUUCCCAUUUUAAUGGGUAUGAUGCUGCUGUCUUACUGUGGCCCUGUGUUCCCUGAUGCUUAGUGAUACCACGCUUUCCCCUGUACUCGAGGCUAUCUGUGUGUGUUUGGUGAAACUUUUAUGCAAGACUUUUUCCUGUUUUCUCAUUCCUUUUGGCUCCUGCUUUGUUGUGGUGGUUCUCUCUGUAAUCUUUAUAAUAACCUUUUAUUAACUUUCUGACUUGCAACGCCCUACUCCCCUCACCCUCCAUUCCACAGUUUCCUCUUCAUUACAGUGGUUGUUUCCUCUGAUACAUGAGAUUUCAGCUUCAGUAUGGCCUGGCUUCCUUAGUUAAAUGUGUUGCCUUUGCUUUUAAUGUCAUGCUCAAAAAGUUAUUAGCAACCCCAAGGUUGUGGAACACCUCCCCUCUGUUUCUUCUAAGAGAUUUAUAUUAUUAGCCCUUACAGUUAGGCCUUGCUCUGACACAUUCAAACUCAUCCUGUAUUUUAUAAGAAAAGGGUUCACCUUCUUCCCUCCC
rnacentral:lncRNA from 1 species